rnacentral:rRNA from 1 species
UACGAAGGGGGCUAGCGUUGUUCGGAAUUACUGGGCGUAAAGCGCGCGCAGGCGGUCUUCCAAGUCAGUGGUGAAAGCCUGGAGCUCAACUCCAGAACUGCCAUUGAAACUGUUGGACUUGAGUACGAGAGAGGUGAGUGGAAUUCCCAGUGUAGAGGUGAAAUUCGUAGAUAUUCGGAAGAACACCAGUGGCGAAGGCGGCUCACUGGCUCAUACUGGACGCUGAGGUGCGAAAGCGUGGGGAGCAAACAGG